rnacentral:rRNA from 1 species
GAUGAACGCUGGCGGUAUGCUUAACACAUGCAAGUCGAACGAAGUACUUCGGUACUUAGUGGCGGACGGGUGAGUAACGCGUGAGAAUCUGCCUUCAGGAGUGGGACAACAGUUGGAAACGACUGCUAAUACCGCAUAUGUCGAGAGAUGAAAGAUUUAUCGCCUGAAGAUGAGCUCGCGUCCGAUUAGCUAGUUGGUGAGGUAAUAGCUCACCAAGGCACCGAUCGGUAGCUGGUUUGAGAGGACAACCAGCCACACUGGGACUGAGACACGGCCCAGACUCCUACGGGAGGCAGCAGUGGGGAAUUUUCCGCAAUGGGCGCAAGCCUGACGGAGCAAUACCGCGUGGGGGAUGAAGGUCUGUGGAUUGUAAACCCCUUUUCUCUAGGAAGAAGUUCUGACGGUACUAGAGGAAUCAGCAUCGGCUAACUCCG